UACAGAGGUCUCAAGCGUUGUUCGGAUUCAUUGGGCGUAAAGGGUGUGUAGGUGGCGCGCUAAGUCGGGUGUGAAAUUUCGGAGCUUAACUCCGAAACUGCAUUCGAUACUGGCGUGCUUGAGGACUGGAGAGGAGACUGGAAUUUACGGUGUAGCAGUGAAAUGCGUAGAUAUCGUAAGGAGGACCAGUGGCGAAGGCGGGUCUCUGGACAGUUCCUGACGCUGAGGCACGAAGGCCAGGGGAGCAAACGGG
rnacentral:rRNA from 1 species